AACGUAGGGGGCGAGCGUUGUCCGGAAUUACUGGGCGUAAAGGGCGUGUAGGCGGCUCGUGAAGUCAGGAGUGAAAACCCGGGGCUCAACCUCGGGAGUGCUUUUGAAACCAGCGGGCUUGAGUGCAGGAGAGGAAAGUGGAAUUCCCAGUGUAGCGGUGAAAUGCGUAGAUAUUGGGAGGAACGCCAGUGGCGAAAGCGGCUUUCUGGCCUGUAACUGACGCUGAGGCGCGAAAGCGUGGGGAGCAAACAGGAUUAGAAACCCGAGUAGU
rnacentral:rRNA from 1 species